UACGUAGGCAGCGAGCGUUGUUCGGAGUUACUGGGCGUAAAGGGUGCGUAGGCGGGUUUUUAAGUCAGGGGUGAAAUCCUGGAGCUCAACUCCAGAACUGCCUUUGAUACUGAAGAUCUUGAGUUCGGGAGAGGUGAGUGGAACUGCGAGUGUAGAGGUGAAAUUCGUAGAUAUUCGCAAGAACACCAGUGGCGAAGGCGGCUCACUGGCCCGAUACUGACGCUGAGGCACGAAAGCGUGGGGAGCAAACAGG
rnacentral:rRNA from 1 species